GAUGAACGCUGGCGGCGUGCCUAAUACAUGCAAGUCGAGCGAACAGACGAGGAGCUUGCUCCUCUGACGUUAGCGGCGGACGGGUGAGUAACACGUGGAUAACCUACCUAUAAGACUGGGAUAACUUCGGGAAACCGGAGCUAAUACCGGAUAAUAUAUUGAACCGCAUGGUUCAAUAGUGAAAGACGGUUUUGCUGUCACUUAUAGAUGGAUCCGCGCCUCAUUAGCUAGUUGGUAAGGUAACGGCUUACCAAGGCAACGAUGCGUAGCCGACCUGAGAGGGUGAUCGGCCACACUGGAACUGAGACACGGUCCAGACUCCUACGGGAGGCAGCAGUAGGGAAUCUUCCGCAAUGGGCGAAAGCCCGACGGAGCAACGCCGCGUGAGUGAUGAAGGUCUUCGGAUCGUAAAACUCUGUUAUUAGGGAAGAACAAAUGUGUAAGUAACUAUGCACGUCUUGACGGUACCUAAUCAGAAAGCCACGGCUAACUACGUG
rnacentral:rRNA from 1 species